CAGCCGCCGCGGUAAUACGGAGGGAGCUAGCGUUGUUCGGAAUUACUGGGCGUAAAGCGCACGUAGGCGGUUAUUCAAGUCAGAGGUGAAAGCCCGGGGCUCAACCCCGGAACUGCCUUUGAAACUAGAUAGCUUGAAUCUUGGAGAGGCGAGUGGAAUUCCGAGUGUAGAGGUGAAAUUCGUAGAUAUUCGGAAGAACACCAGUGGCGAAGGCGACUCGCUGGACAAGUAUUGACGCUGAGGUGCGAAAGCGUGGGGAGCAAACAGGAUUAGAUACCCGGGUAGUCCCUGUCUCUUAUAC
rnacentral:rRNA from 1 species